rnacentral:rRNA from 1 species
UACGAAGGGCGCUAGCGUUGCUCGGAAUCACUGGGCGUAAAGGGUGCGUAGGCGGGUCUUUAAGUCAGGGGUGAAAUCCUGGAGCUCAACUCCAGAACUGCCUUUGAUACUGAGGAUCUUGAGUUCGGGAGAGGUGAGUGGAACUGCGAGUGUAGAGGUGAAAUUCGUAGAUAUUCGCAAGAACACCAGUGGCGAAGGCGGCUCACUGGCCCGAUACUGACGCUGAGGCACGAAAGCGUGGGGAGCAAACAGG